AUUGAACGCUGGCGGCAGGCCUACCACAUGCAAGUCGAGCGAGCGGCGGACGGGUGAGUAAUGUCUGGGAAACUGCCUGAUGGAGGGGGAUAACUACUGGAAACGGUAGCUAAUACCGCAUACCAUCAGAUGUGCCCAGAUGGGAUUAGCUGGUAGGUGGGGUAACGGCUCACCUAGGCGACGAACCCUAGCUGGGCUGAGAGGAUGACCAGCCACACUGGAACUGAGACACGGGCCAUGAUCCUACGGGAGGCAGCAGUGGGGAAGAUGGCACAAUGGGCGAAAGCCUGAGGCAGCCAUGCCGCGUGUGUGAAGAAGGCCUUCGGGUUGUAAAGCUCUUUCAGCGGGGAGGCGUUACCCGCAGAAGAAGCACCGGCUAACUACGUGCCAGCCGCCGCGGUAAUAC
rnacentral:rRNA from 1 species